rnacentral:rRNA from 1 species
CGUCAGCUCGUGUCGCGAGAUGUUGGGUUAAGUCCCGCAACGAGCGCAACCCUUGUCUUUAAUUGCCAGCAUUCAGUUGGGCACUUUAAAGAGACUGCCGGUGUUAAGCCGGAGGAAGGUGGGGAUGACGUCAAGUCCUCAUGGCCUUUAUGCCCAGGGCUACACACGUGCUACAAUGGGUGGUACAAAGAGAUGCCAACUCGCGAGAGCGCGCCAAUCUCAGAAAGCCAUCCUCAGUUCGGAUUGGAGUCUGCAACUCGACUCCAUGAAGUUGGAAUCGCUAGUAAUCGCGGAUCAGCACGCCCGCGGUCGAAUACGUUCCCGGGCCUU